AGCAGUAGGAUUUAUUUUAGAUUUUCAGUACAUAUUUUAUUUUUAUUUAUUUAUGGUGUGGCAUAGAUACAACAAGAACACAUAAUUUAAAAAAAAAGUAGAUAUAUAAAACAUUACAUGAAGUAUCACAAACGAACAUCUAAUGUAUUAAUAUACUGUAAAACAUUUUCGGUCGCAUUCAGGAACUCAUAGAAAACUCCAGGGUACCGCCUUCGGGGGCAUUCCUCAAUAAUGUGGCGGACGGUCUGCCGUUGCGCACCACAGUCACACUCAGGAGUAAGGGCCUUUCCCCAUCUAUGCAAGCUGUCAGCACAUCUACCGGUACCUGUUCUUAUUCUGUUCAGUGCCGUCCAUGUAUUGCGGGGCAGUUCAAAGCCUGGCGGUUUCUGAUCGAUACAGGCCAUUUGGUGUGAUUCCUGUGGUGAGUCGCUCUCCCAUUGUCUUCUCCAAGCGUUGGUGAGGUCGAAAUGUUCCUGAUGUAGGGAGGUGGCCCUUAACAAUGGGGGAUAUCUGGAGCGCAGUCUGCUCAUUUCGAUAUCAAGCUUAUCAUGGUGGAUGGGUAGUUGAUGGUUAGCCUCGAUUUUUCGAUAUUUUCUGAGAAGAGAAUGACUGCUUCUUAGUUUAGGCGGUGGAAUGUGACUCAGAAUGGGAAGCCAAUAGUUCGGUGUUGGUCGAAUUGUACCUGAGAUCAUUCGCAUUGUCUGGUUUAAUUGGGUGUCAAUGAUCUUCGUGUGUUUGCUAUUGAGCCAUACCGGCGAAGUAUAUUCAGCCGCCGAGUAUACGAGUCCGAGAGCGGAUGAUCUGAGUACGGAGGCUGAGGACCCCCAUGUGGUGCCACAUAGCUUUUGGAUUAUAUUAUUUCACGUCUUCAGUUUUUCUGCCGUUCUUUGUAGGUGUUCCUUAAAACUUAAGGUUCUGUCAAGAGUCACUCCAAGAUAUUUUGGUGUUGAGUUAUGAGUGAGUAGUCUGUUUUCAAAGUGAACGGAGAGUUUUUUGUUGGCUUGGGCAUUAUUCAGAUGGAAACAGCACACUUCAGUUUUCAUUGCAUUGGGCCGUAGCCUCCAUUUGCGAAAAUAUUCACCCAUAACAGCAAGGUCAUCCGUCAGUAUUGACGGAUUCAGUACAUAUUCUAUGUAUAAUGUAAACCAUAGAAAAAACUACACAUAGUUUUAAAAGUUAUGUAUCACCCAGUGUAUUCACAAUUUUUACACUUUUUAAAUCCAGAUCCUUAUCACGUAUUUUAAUAGUCAUUUUUCAUAUAAAAGACAUCUUUUUGGUUUAUUUUAUUUAAAUGCCCAUUUAAUUGAUCUGGUUUUGCUAACAAGAAUCUACAGGUCGAGCAAGUCUCGUAAAUUUCACGAUUGCGAGCCACGCUUCACGCAACCGUGUUUGCGUACUUGUGUUUCGAGUUGCGUGGUCGUGCGGAGUUAUAUUUACCAAAUUUAAAUGUAAUCGUUUCUACUGAUAAUAAUAUACUAUUCUCAAUAUGGCUACUGGUGUAAAAGAUAAAUCUUAUUCUAUCUGUUCUUCAUGAGUUUUAGAUAAUUUUAGUUGUAUUUCUUUGUAAUUUUGUGUUGUACAAAGAUUAAUUUAACAUUUUCUCUGGAAGUAUUAAUUUAGAAAGAUAAUAUGCUUCAUUGGUGUUGUGUUUUGAAGUGUGAAAUGCAAAGUAAUUGUGAUAAAGUCAAGAUAAAGUUCACUUUUAAACUGAACUAAAUAAGGUAUCUGAGAGACAACAAUGGUUAAAUGCAAUACAAUGUACAGGUUUUACUAGCGAAAUGAAAAUUUUCCUGUCCUGUCUGCUGUAAUCAUUUUAUAUCUGGAAAAUAGGAAAACCAGCCGACUUAAUCGAUAAUAACAAUCUCCAGAUUGGGUUCCUUCAAUAAAUAUGGGCUAUAAACACAAUGAAAUAAGUUCCCCAAAAUCUAAAAUGGAGUGCUAUCAAAGGAGAAUUAAAGGAAAAAAUAUUCAUAUUGAAAUUAUUUAUAAGGCACUGGACUGUCUUAAAUUCUACAAUAAUACUAGAAUCAGCUGAGAGAAGUGGUCUACAAAAUACCAGGAAGGAAACGGAAUAUGUGGCUACGAAAGGCAAAAGAAAGGUUUACAAAGCAAAUGUGACACAUUUUUUUGAAAUAUUUAGGAAUAUCAGUAAAUUGCAUUAAAAAAUGUAUGAAAAGAUUUUGUUCAAUAAAAAUGUUUAUAUUUA
rnacentral:lncRNA from 1 species